rnacentral:rRNA from 1 species
AUUGAACGCUGGCGGCAGGCCUAACACAUGCAAGUCGAACGGUAACAGGAAGCAGCUUGCUGCCUUGCUGACGAGUGGCGGACGGGUGAGUAAUGUCUGGGAAACUGCCUGAUGGAGGGGGAUAACUACUGGAAACGGUAGCUAAUACCGCAUAACGUCGCAAGACCAAAGAGGGGGACCUUCGGGCCUCUUGCCAUCGGAUGUGCCCAGAUGGGAUUAGCUAGUAGGUGGGGUAACGGCUCACCUAGGCGACGAUCCCUAGCUGGUCUGAGAGGAUGACCAGCCACACUGGAACUGAGACACGGUCCAGACUCCUACGGGAGGCAGCAGUGGGGAAUAUUGCACAAUGGGCGCAAGCCUGAUGCAGCCAUGCCGCGUGUAUGAAGAAGGCCUUUCGGGUUGUAAAGUACUUUUCAGCGGGGAGGAAGGCGAUAAGGUUAAUAACCUUGUCGAUUGACGUUACC